ensembl:snRNA U6 U6 spliceosomal RNA
GCCUGUUUCAAGAGCCCAGAGACUGAAAUUGGAAUGAUACUGAGAAGAUGAGCACGGCCUCUGCACAGAGAUGUCACACAAAUCCGUGAAGCAUUCCAUAUUUUU